rnacentral:rRNA from 1 species
AACGAGCGCUGGCGGCAGGCUUAACACACGCAAGUCGAGCGCCCCGCAAGGGGAGCGGCAGACGGGUGAGUAACGCGUGGGAAUCUACCCAUCACUACGGAACAACUCCGGGAAACUGGAGCUAAUACCGUAUACGUCCUUCAGGAGAAAGAUUUAUCGGUGAUGGAUGAGCCCGCGUUGGAUUAGCUAGUUGGUGGGGUAAUGGCCCACCAAGGCGACGAUCCAUAGCUGGUCUGAGAGGAUGAUCAGCCACACUGGGACUGAGACACGGCCCAGACUCCUACGGGAGGCAGCAGUGGGGAAUAUUGGACAAUGGGCGCAAGCCUGAUCCAGCCAUGCCGCGUGAGUGAUGAGGGCCCUAGGGUUGUAAAGCUCUUUCACCGGUGAAGAUAAUGACGGUAACCGGAGAAGAAGCCCCGGCUAACUUCGUGCCAGCCGCCGCCGUAA